rnacentral:lncRNA from 1 species
UUGCUGUUCUCCAAACCUGUUGACUGGCAUUAGUUCUACUCACCAUCAUCUCUUUCAUGAAUUGUGGCAACAGCCUCCCUUACCAUUAGACUUGGCCCCUUCCAGUCUGUUUGUGCUUGAUAACAACAAUGUGCAAGGUAAUUUUUUCUUUUAGCAUUCAUAUUGCCUCCAUAAUAGAAACUGAACCUUAGGAAAGAUUGGCUCACAUUAACACAACUCUUGAGCAUUAGAGCCAGGUAUUCUGGGUCCUUAUUAGGGUCUCACUAACUUCCAGUUGCCCCUUCUGCAGGUCUGGAGAUGUGUGCACAUCUGAGGAACACGUGGUGCAGAAUUGAGGCCUCUGCAAGUGUAAAAUAAUAGAAGGCUCUCAGGUGUGAUAGGGCAGGGAGCUACUGGAGAAGGGCUCUGGCUGGAGCAGGUGGGCUGGAGCAGGUGAGUCUGCUGGGGAACUCUGGGGCUGAGCCAGUGCUGCUAGUACAGUACAUGAAGAGUGUCAGAAACAGCUCCUACCAGUGUACCAGUGCCAGGCCAAGUGGGUGGAAGGGGAAUGUAAAAAAAAAAAAAAGUGCCUGCCAGACCUUCCAUCCCCAGAGAAUGUUAUAACAGGU